UACAGAGGUCCCAAGCGUUGUUCGGAUUCACUGGGCGUAAAGGGUGCGUAGGUGGCUUGGUAAGAUUGAUGUGAAAUCCCUGGGCUUAACCUAGGAAUGGCAUCGAAGACUGUUAUGCUAGAGUACUGAAGAGGGUAGUGGAAUUUCCGGUGUAGCGGUGAAAUGCGUAGAGAUCGGAAGGAACACCAGUGGCGAAGGCGGCUACCUGGACAGAUACUGACACUGAGGCGCGAGAGCGUGGGGAGCAAACAGG
rnacentral:rRNA from 1 species